UACGUAGGGGGCAAGCGUUGUCCGGAUUUAUUGGGCGUAAAGAGCGUGUAGGCGGCCAUUCAGGUCAGCUGUGAAAACUCGAGGCUCAACCUCGAGACGUCGGUUGAAACCGUUUGGCUAGAGUCCGGAAGAGGAGAGUGGAAUUCCCGGUGUAGCGGUGAAAUGUGCAGAUAUCAGGAGGAACACCGGUGGCGAAGGCGGGUCUCUGGGCCGUAACUGACGCUGAGGAGCGAAAGCGUGGGGAGCGAACGGG
rnacentral:rRNA from 1 species